rnacentral:rRNA from 1 species
CAAUAGCGUAUAUUAAAGUUGUUGCAGUUAAAAAGCUCGUAGUUGGAUUUCUGGUUGAAGCGACCGGUCGGGCGUUGAUUCGUCUGCACUGGAGUCGGUUUUGGCCAUCCUCUAGGAAAGUGCGUCUGGUAUUAAGUUAUCGGGCGUAUGAUCCUGGUCUUUUACUGUGAAAAAAUUAGAGUGUUUAAAGCAGGCCUUCGCCUUGAAUACAUUAGCAUGGAAUAAUAAGAUAGGACUUUGGUCUAUUUUGUUGGUUUGCAGACCGAAGUAAUGAUUAAUAGGGAUAGUUGGUGGUAUUUAUAUUCCGAUGUCAGAGGUGAAAUUCUUAGAUUUUCGGAAGAUAAACUUAUGCGAAAGCAUUUACCAAGGAUGUUUUCAUUA